rnacentral:misc_RNA from 1 species
AGACUCAAGAACUCGGUCGGAAUGAUGCCUGUGAAAUUGUUUGAUGCACACUGUCACCUCCAAGACCCGCGAAUCCUCAACAAGGUUCCGCAACUCAUCGCCACUUCCCUUGAUACUGGUAUAAUUCGUUUCGCCGUUAAUGGAGUCUGCGAGCGAGAUUGGCAUCUGGUUAAAGAGAUGGGGGAUCUGUAUCCUUCUGUGAUUCCCUGCUUUGGUCUCCAUCCCUGGUUUAUUUCAGAGAGGACUUCCAACUGGUUCAACACGCUCAAAGAAUUCUUUGAGACCACUCCUUCUGCUGCUGUUGGUGAGGUUAAAUUCCCAUUUCCUUGUGUAGUUUCCUUUACUAAUAUUUUUGGUGAUAUCAACAUAUAUGUAUAUGUGAUACUACUCAAUAGCAUUUGAAGACAGGAGAAUGGUAGAAUUUUAAGGAGACUUGAAAUUCUCAUAUGCACAAGAACAGGGGCUCAUAUAAUUAAUACAUUCUAUGAACCUUUUCAGAUUGGUUUGGACAAGGGUUCUCGUGGAAAGAAGAUUGAUUUCACGGACCAGGUUUUCAUAUCUGAAUUUUUUAGUUACUAUAUUUUAAUAUAGUUGGCUACUCCAUAUGCUAUUUCUUAAUUGACUGGUGUUUUUGAACCAAUAUAAGGUUUCUCUUUAAUUUUACGCACUGAAGAAGAUGGCAUGCACGAGGACAAUGUGCAGCUCUUGCCUGAAAGUAGAUAAUUAUCAUUUUUUAACUUCUAAAGCAGUAGGAAUUUUAGUCCAAUAGAUGACUUAAUUGGGAGCUAAAGUGCUAAACUAGAAAAAGACACUAGACACAACUAUUUUUUAUUGUAUUUUACUUUUUUAGAGCAAUCUACUUUUUUUUUUUCUUGUCUUUAUCAACCCUGAAAUAUCUCCAUUUCUUGAUGCAUGGUUCUGCCGCUUGGCUUGUGAUAAAAAUUUGCUAAAUUAAUGCAAAAUGGUAUUUGGCAUGGGGGUUCAAUAUUUUAGAGGGCUUUUUGAAAGUGUUUGAUAUAAUAUUACUUGUAAUUUGGUGAAGAGAGUCUAUUCUGUGAUGUCCUCUUAAUAAAUUCCUAUGUAUGCAUGUAUACCAUGCAUUCAUUUAUAUAGGUAUGUAUUUAUGAUUGUGCUUAUUUUUCCCUACUUUCUUAAUUCUCUUAUAAAUUGUUUCUUAUAUUCGAUAUGCAUCUUGUAUAUGUAUCAAACAGGAUCAAGAUGUCCAGUUAUAUCUCUCUGUAUUAUUAUAUAGCACUUUUAGCCCUUCUCAUGCUCUCGAACUCUCAACGGAAUAAAUAAUUAUGUUGUUUUUCAUUUACUAUUAAAAUCAUCUCAAUCUUAAUAUGGUUUCCUAGACUUUUUUAAUGGGUGAAGUUUUUCAUUCUAGGUUGAAGUGUUUCAGCAACAGCUUGAACUUGCUAAAGAAUUGAAUAGACCAGCCUCUGUUCAUUGUGUUCGUGCAUUUGGCGAUCUUCUUGAGAUAAUGAAGUAUGAAUUUAUUUUUUUUUCUUGCUUCUCUUAGAGAUUUACCUCAAAAUGAUGGGAGCGUAACAAAAAAUUUUUCAGUUUUAACUCAUGUAGCCUAGAGUUUUCUUAGUUGUGAGCAUAAUCAGCAUUCAACAUAUAAAUAAGCAUGUGAAUUUUGCUGAAUGAGCAUUGAAAUUGCAAUUAAUUCAUUAUAAAAAAUGUCGGUUCAGUGUGUUGUGAUUAUGUCUUUGCCCCUUAUGUGGUGGCAUGGUGGAGAAUGGAUGCGGCCUUAGUGAUAUGCAUCUUUUGCAAUUGUCGGCCAUUGUGGCCUUGUUGGAAUCACUCCUUUCAUACUUUAUGAAACUAAAAGUUACUUUGUGUUUUGCAUCUUAGACAUUAUUGUGCAUCCUGAAUGCCAUUCAUUAACUAAACGACUUGAUUAAAGGCAUUCUAUGAAUCUUUUCAUCAAGGUCUUCAGUGUUUCCAAAUGAGAGGUUCUUCCUGCUCGUGGCUUUAUAUUUUUUGGACCUACUUUGUAUUGCUGUUAAUUCAUUAGUCAUUACUUGUAUUUGUGCACAUGUUUUAAAAAUGCUAGUUGCUUAUAGAGCCAUUAUAAUCUGUUCCAAGGUUUAAUUACAUGUGAAUUUCAAAUCAUCAGAAGCAUGGGACCUUUCCCUGCUGGUGUUAUUCUUCAUUCUUACUUAGGUUCUGCUGAGAUGGUUCCUGAAUUUGCCAAGCUUGGUGCAUACUUCUCAUUCUCAG